rnacentral:rRNA from 1 species
GACGAACGCUGGCGGCGUGCCUAAUACAUGCAAGUCGAACGCUGAAGGAGGAGCUUGCUUCUCUGGAUGAGUUGCGAACGGGUGAGUAACGCGUAGGUAACCUGCCUGGUAGCGGGGGAUAACUAUUGGAAACGAUAGCUAAUACCGCAUAAUAGUAGAUGUUGCAUGACAUUUGCUUACAAGUUGCAAUUGCAUCACUACCAGAUGGACCUGCGUUGUCUUAGCUAGUUGGUUGGGUAACGGCUCACCAAGGCGACGAUACAUAGCCGACCUGAGAGGGGGAUCGGCCACACUGGGAAUGGGACACGGCCCAGACUUCUACGGGAGGCAGCAGGAGGGAAUCUUCGGCAAUGGACGGAAGUCUGACCGAGCAACGCCGCGUGAGUGAAGAAGGUUUUCGGAUCGUAAAGCUCUGUUGUAAGAGAAGAACGAGUGUGAGGGUGGAAAGUUCACACAGUGACGGUAUCUUACCAGAAAGGGACGGCUAACUACGUG